rnacentral:tRNA from 1 species
GGGCGGUUAGCUCAGUUGGCUAGAGCGCAAAUUUGACGUAUUUGAGGUCAUAGGUUCGAGUCCUAUACCGCCCA